rnacentral:rRNA from 1 species
AGUGAACGCUGGCGGUAGGCCUAACACAUGCAAGUCGAACGGCAGCACAGUAAGAGCUUGCUCUUACGGGUGGCGAGUGGCGUACGGGUGAGGAAUACAUCGGAAUCUACUUUUUCGUGGGGGAUAACGUAGGGAAACUUACGCUAAUACCGCAUACGACCUACGGGUGAAAGCAGGGGAUCUUCGGACCUUGCGCGAUUGAAUGAGCCGAUGUCGGAUUAGCUAGUUGGCGGGGUAAAGGCCCACCAAGGCGACGCUCCGUAGCUGGUCUGAGAGGAUGAUCAGCCACACUGGAACUGAGACACGGCCCAGACUCCUACGGGAGGCAGCAGUGGGGAAUAUUGGACAAUGGGCGCAAGCCUGAUCCAGCCAUACCGCGUGGGUGAAGAAGGCCUUCGGGUUGUAAAGCCCUUUUGUUGGGAAAGAAAAGCAGCAGGUUAAUACCCCGCUGUUCUGACGGUACCCAAAGAAUAAGCACCGGCUAACUUCGUG